rnacentral:rRNA from 1 species
AGGUAAGCUACUAAGAGCGAAUGGUGGAUGCCUUGACUGGUAAAGGCGAUGAAGGACGUACUAGACUGCGAUAAGCUACGGGGAGCUGUCAAGAAGCUUUGAUCCGUAGAUUUCCGAAUGGGGCAACCCAAUGUAUAGAGAUAUACAUUACCUAUAUAGGAGCGAACGAGGGGAAUUGAAACAUCUUAGUACCCUCAGGAAAAGAAAUCAAUAGAGAUUGCGUCAGUAGCGGCGAGCGAAAGCGCAAGAGGGCAAACCCAGUGCUUGCACUGGGGGUUGUAGGACUGCAAUGUGCAAGAGGUAAGUUUAGCAGAACAUUCUGGAAAGUAUAGCCAUAGAGGGUGAUAGUCCCGUAUGCGAAAAACAAACCUUAGCUAGCAGUAUCCUGAGUAGGGCGGGACACGAGGAAUCCUGUCUGAAUCCGGGUCGACCACGAUCCAACCCUAAAUACUAAUACCAGAUCGAUAGUGCACAAGUACCGUGAGGGAAAGGUGAAAAGAACUGAGGUGAUCAGAGUGAAAUAGAACCUGAAACCAUUUGCUUACAAUCAUUCAGAGCCCUAUGUAGCAAUACAGGGUGAUGGACUGCCUUUUGCAUAAUGAGCCUGCGAGUUGUGGUGUCUGGCAAGGUUAAGCAAACGCGAAGCCGUAGCGAAAGCGAGUCUGAAUAGGGCGCUUAGUCAGAUGCUGCAGACCCGAAACGAAGUGAUCUAUCCAUGAGCAAGUUGAAGCUAGUGUAAGAACUAGUGGAGGACUGAACCCAUAGGCGUUGAAAAGCCCCGGGAUGACUUGUGGAUAGGGGUGAAAGGCCAAUCAAACUUCGUGAUAGCUGGUUCUCUCCGAAAUAUAUUUAGGUAUAGCGUUGUGUCGUAAUAUAAGGGGGUAGAGCACUGAAUGGGCUAGGGCAUACACCAAUGUACCAAACCCUAUCAAACUCCGAAUACCUUAUAUGUAAUCACAGCAGUCAGGCGGCGAGUGAUAAAAUCCGUCGUCAAGAGGGAAACAACCCAGACUACCAGCUAAGGUCCCUAAGUCUUACUUAAGUGGAAAACGAUGUGAAGUUACUUAAACAACCAGGAGGUUGGCUUAGAAGCAGCCAUCCUUUAAAGAAAGCGUAAUAGCUCACUGGUCUAGUGAUUUUGCGCGGAAAAUAUAACGGGGCUAAAGUAAGUACCGAAGCUGUAGACUUGCACACAACUUAGAUUAUUUAAGUUUAGAAUAUGAGAAACUAAGUUAUAUGUUUAGUUAUAUUUUUACUGAUUUUUAUAGAGUAAAGAUAGAAAUAAAACUUAGUGAAAUCAGUAAAAAUAUUCUUAGGCUAAAGUUAAGUAGUUU